ACGAACGUUGGCGGCGUGCUUAAUACAUGCAAGUCAACUGAAGCAGUGGUAGCAAUAUCGCUGUGGAGGUGGCGCACGGGUGAGUAACACGUAGGUAAUCUGCCUUCAGGUCUGGCAUAACUCCGGGAAACCGGGGCUAAUAGCAGAUGAUGCAGCGGCUCGACAUCGAGACAGUUGUUAAAGCUAUGGCGCCUGAAGAUGAGCCUGCGCCUGAUUAGCUAGUUGGCGGGGUAACGGCCCACCAAGGCAACGAUCAGUAGCUGGUCUGAGAGGAUGAUCAGCCACACUGGAACUGAGACACGGUCCAGACUCCUACGGGAGGCAGCAGUAAGGAAUAUUGCUCAAUGGGAGAAAUCCUGAAGCAGCAACGCCGCGUGAGGGACGAAGGGCUUUUGCUUGUAAACCUCUGUAGUGAGAGAAAAAAAUCCCAAUCUUUGGGACAUGAUGGUAUCUCAAAAGUAAGCCCCGGCUAACUACGUG
rnacentral:rRNA from 1 species